rnacentral:rRNA from 1 species
CCGGCGAACGGCUUAGUAACACGUGGGUACAUACCCCAAACUGGAGCAUAGCUCGUCGAAAGACGGGGUAAUUCUCCAUAAUCCCGCAAGGGUAAAGGCGCAAGCCGAUUUGGGAAUGGCCUACGGCCUAUCAGAUUGUUGGUGAGGUAAAGGCUCACCAAGUCAAUGACGGGUAGGGGGCGUGAGAGCGCGACCCCCAAGAAUGGCACUGCGACACGGGCCAUACUCCUACGGGAGGCUGCAGUCGAGAAUCUUCCGCAAUGGACGAAAGUCUGACGGAGCGACGUUACGUGAAUGAUGACGCCCUUAGGGGUGUAAAGUUCUUUUACCUGGGAGGAAGCCGCAAGGCAGACAGUACCAGAUGAAUAAGGGGAUCCUAAUUCUGUG